GACAUACAUGUAUGUAUGUAAAUACCCGUCAAAGUACUAGAAAUUAAUUUGAAUGUACAUAUAUAUCGUUUUGACAUAAUUUUUGUUUGAAGACUACGUACACUUUGCUGUUCUUAUCAUCAAGUACUUUUAACAAAUUAAAAUUGUGACAGAGAAUAAUGUAGCGGCUACAUAUUAUGAAUAUAAUAAAAUUCUACACACGACACAAUUUAUGUUAAAAAGUCAUAAAAAAAAGAUGCCGGUAGAGAAAAAGAUGAACGAGACCAUGUAAAAUAACCGGUCAAAAAGGAUACGCUGGACAAGUGACCUGCCGAUGUGAGCCGACUGGCGAGAAAAAGAACGAUGUAGAAGUAAGGAGUAAGGAAAAGGACUUUGCUGGAUGUUGCAGUAAAAAGUAAAAAUUACGAUAAUCGGUUAGAAAUAAGGAAAACUGUUUAAACCUAUAUGGCCGCCUGGCUAUAUAAUAAUGAUGGCACAAGCAUUGCAAUAUUCUCAGAGAUUUUGACAAUUUAGUGAUUGUAAUUCAACUGAAUGUAUAGAGAAAAAAAGGUACGUGGAGGAUGUUGCGGUGCUAAAUGUUGUUCGGGUACAAAAGAAGAGCAUGGCGGAUGUUGCAAUGCCACUGCGGAUGAAAAGAGCUGCUGUCCAGCAGGAAAAUAAUCUAUCAACGCAAUGGUUCCGCUUGAUGACGAGGUUAAAAAGGCGGCCAUAUGGGCUAUUUUCAGUGUGAAUUCACAAAUUCGCCUUUUUCAACACAUUACACAACUUAUCUCGUCACACAUCCCGUCUAAAUUCAAAAGCGAGAGAAGCAGCCGGUGGUUGCUGUAUGUCUGGUUGUUGCAAAACCAAGAAUGGAGGGAGCGAGAGAGACUCGGCAGGUGCGGAUGGUGUUACACAGGCGAAAGAUACCGUUGGUCGUUCAGGAGGAUGCUGUGCCGAAAAUCGGAAAUAACUUUGAAAAGAAAUAUUUGCAUCGUAAAUUCUAAUCGAAAAGAUUCAAAUGCUUUCAUUUCUAUUCCACAUGCACAUUUCUGUACUGCGCGCAAUUGAAAAUAUUUGGAUAAUAAAGCUACUUAAAUCUCCAUAUAUAAAA